CACCUCCUGUGUCUGCAUCUGGGUCAUAUCCUGCGUCAUUAUAGGAACCUAGGAGCAAACCUAAAGAGGAACCAGGCUCUGAAAGGUGGACAGCCCUCUUCUGGCUGUGCCGGGUGAAGAUUAUAAGAGUACAUGGCCAUUUAAGGACAGAUUGUUCUUCAAGAUGUUCAAAUGGGAGACGAGUGGAAGACCGCGUUCAGUACCACUACAGGGCAUUAUGUGUACUUUGUCAUGCCGUACGGGUUGAUGAAUGCUCCAUCAAUUUUCAAAUCCUUUGUAGACGAGAUUUUCAGGGACCUGCACCGGCAGGGUGUAGUGGUGUAUAUCGAUGACAUUCUGAUUUACUCUGCUACACGCGCGGAGCAUGUGUCCUUGGUGCGCAAUGUACUUGGUCGACUGUUGGCGCAUGACCUGUAUGUCAAGGCUGAGAAAUGCCUGUUCUUUCAGCAGGCAGUCUCCUAAGGUAUCGCAUUUCCACAUCAGGGGUGGAGAUGGAGAGUGACCGCAUUUCAGCCGUGCGUAAUUGGACGACUCUCACCAUAGAAAAGGAGGUGCUACAGACCAGGUUCCCGGAAUAAGACGCACUAUCCAGACUGUAUGACUCAGACGAGCGGCCUAUGGAUCAGACUCCCAUAUUCUCGGCCUCCUGCCUGGUGGCGCCGGUGUUGUGGGAUCUGGACACGGACAUUGAGCAGGCGCUGCGUACGGAGCCCGCUCCCCUCCAGUGCCCUGUUGGGUGUAAAUACGUUCCGUCUGCUGUCCGUGACCAGUUGAUCUCUUGGGCCCACACGUCUUCCUCUGCUCAUCCAGGGAUCGGUCGGACGGUGCGCUGUCUGACUGGGAAGUACUGGUGGCCCACCUUGGCAAAUGACGUGAGGGUUUGUGUCCUCCUACUCGGUGUGUGCCCAGUGUAAGGCUCCGAGACACCUGCCCAGAGGGAUUUGGGCCUGUUCCCGGGAAAGCAGUAUGCCCUUCACGUCCAGCUCGUCAGAGUUUCUGCCAGUUCGAGGUCAGCUGUAAGAUUGCUACAAUGUUAUCCAACUACUGAAUCAUGGCCUACAACAGCUGGCUGCUGGCCGAGGGAAACUACCCACACAGCCUGUCAGUGUCUCCCUCUUCUCCCAGAAGAGGCACCUCUGGUGGUACAUCAUCCUGGGCUGGGGUAAGCCUUUCUUACUGUAGAAACGGUAGAAGCUUUUACUUAAGUGACCAUGAAUUAGCAAGAAUGAAGUACAAGUUUGCUAAAGUAAAAGCUUCUACAUUGAUUUUGGCUAUGUGCUUCUAUCCCUGUCUGGGAGCUUCUAAUCACUGUCUUCUCCCAUUCCAUCAGUGGUGGGCCGUCAGGGCCAGCAAGGCCUUCUCUGCUGGCCUAAAUAAAUAAAAAAUAUAUAUAUUUCCCCACAAAUAUGUA